UGUGUGUGUGUGUGUGUUUGGGGAGCUGGUUGUACACUGACCAGCUGGGGCGUCACACCUCCCCCCUAAGAGAACCGAGGCCCACAUUUAUGGGACCGGUUA